rnacentral:rRNA from 1 species
AAGCGGUGGAUGAUGUGGUUAAUUCGAUGCAACGCGAAAACCUUACUACCCUUGACAUGCCAGGAAUCCUGCAGAGAUGUGGGAGUGCUCGCAAGAGAGCCUGGACACAGGUGCUGCAUGGCUGUCGUCAGCUCGUGUCGUGAGAUGUUGGGUUAAGUCCCGCAACGAGCGCAACCCUUGCCAUUAGUUGCUACGAAAGGGCACUCUAAUGGGACUGCCGGUGACAAACCGGAGGAAGGUGGGGAUGACGUCAAGUCCUCAUGGCCCUUAUGGGUAGGGCUACACACGUCAUACAAUGGCCGGUACAGAGGGCUGCCAACCCGCGAGGGGGAGCCAAUCCCGUAAAACCGGUCGUAGUCCGGAUUGCAGUCUGCAACUCGACUGCAUGAAGUCGGAAUCGCUAGUAAUCGCGGAUCAGCAUGUCGCGGUGAAUACGUUCCCGGGUCUU